rnacentral:rRNA from 1 species
GACGAACGCUGACGGUGUGCUUUAGACAUGCAAGUCGAACGAGAAAGCCCUUCGGGUGAGUACAGUGGCGAACGGGUGAGUAACACGUGGGCAACCUGCCCCUCGCAGGGGGACAACCGGAGGAAACUCCGGCUAAUACCCCGUAAGCUUGUUGGGUCGCAUGACCCUUCAAGGAGAGGUAGCUUCGGCCAUCCGGCGAGGGAUGGGCCCGCGGUACAUUAGCUAGUUGGUGGGGUAACGGCCCACCAAGGCGACGAUGUAUAGCUGGUCUGAGAGGAUGAUCAGCCACACUGGGACUGAGGCACGGCCCAGACUCCUACGGGAGGCAGCAGUCGGGAAUCUUGCGCAAUGGGCGAAAGCCUGACGCAGCAACACCGUGUGAGCGACGAAGGCCUUC